AGUGAACGCUGGCGGUAGGCCUAACACAUGCAAGUCGAACGGCAGCACAGUAAGAGCUUGCUCUUACGGGUGGCGAGUGGCGGACGGGUGAGGAAUACAUCGGAAUCUACUUUUUCGUGGGGGAUAACGUAGGGAAACUUACGCUAAUACCGCAUACGACCUACGGGUGAAAGCAGGGGAUCUUCGGACCUUGCGCGAUUGAAUGAGCCGAUGUCGGAUUAGCUAGUUGGCGGGGUAAAGGCCCACCAAGGCGACGAUCCGUAGCUGGUCUGAGAGGAUGAUCAGCCACACUGGAACUGAGACACGGUCCAGACUCCUACGGGAGGCAGCAGUGGGGAAUAUUGGACAAUGGGCGCAAGCCUGAUCCAGCCAUACCGCGCGGGUGAAGAAGGCCUUCGGGUUGUAAAGCCCUUUUGUUGGGAAAGAAAAGCAGCGGGUUAAUACCCCGCUGUUCUGACGGUACCCAAAGAAUAAGCACCGGCUAACUUCGUG
rnacentral:rRNA from 1 species